UACGUAGGGGGCAAGCGUUAAUCGGAAUUACUGGGCGUAAAGCGUGCGCAGGCGGUUUGUUAAGUCUGUUGUGAAAUCCCCGAGCUCAACUUGGGAAUUGCAAUGGAUACUGGCAGGCUGGAGUAUGGUAGAGGAAGGUGGAAUUCCCGGUGUAGCAGUGAAAUGCGUAGAGAUCGGGAGGAACACCAGUGGCGAAGGCGGCCUUCUGGACCAAUACUGACGCUCAUGCACGAAAGCGUGGGGAGCAAACAGG
rnacentral:rRNA from 1 species